UUGGUUAAGUUAGAAAGGGCGCACGGUGGAUGCCUUGGCACUAGGAGCCGAAGAAGGACGGGACUAACACCGAUAUGCUUUGGGGAGCUGUACGUAAGCGUUGAUCCAGAGAUUUCCGAAUGGGGGAACCCACUAUCUUUAGUCGGAUAGUAUCCUUACGUGAAUACAUAGCGUGAGGAAGGCAGACCCAGGGAACUGAAACAUCUAAGUACCUGGAGGAAGAGAAAGAAAAAUCGAUUUCCUGAGUAGCGGCGAGCGAAACGGAAAGAGCCCAAACCAAGAAGCUUGCUUCUUGGGGUUGUAGGACACUCUAUACGGAGUUACAAAAGAAAGUUAUAAAUGAAGCGGUCUGGAAAGGCCCGCCAAAGACGGUAACAGCCCGGUAGUUGAAAUGGCUUUCCCUCCAGAGUGGAUCCUGAGUACGGCGGAACACGUGAAAUUCCGUCGGAAUCCGGGAGGACCAUCUCCCAAGGCUAAAUACUCCCUAGUGACCGAUAGUGAACCAGUACCGUGAGGGAAAGGUGAAAAGCACCCCGGAAGGGGAGUGAAACAGUUCCUGAAACCGUGUGCCUACAAGUAGUUAGAGCCCGUUAAUGGGUGAUAGCGUGCCUUUUGUAGAAUGAACCGGCGAGUUACGAUUUGUUGCAAGGUUAAGCGGAAAAAGCGGAGCCGUAGCGAAAGCGAGUCUGAAUAGGGCGCAUAAGUAACAGGUCGUAGACCCGAAACCAGGUGAUCUACCCAUGUCCAGGAUGAAGGUAAGGUAAUACUUACUGGAGGUCCGAACCCACGCACGUUGAAAAGUGCGGGGAUGAGGUGUGGGUAGCGGAGAAAUUCCAAUCGAACUUGGAGAUAGCUGGUUCUCUCCGAAAUAGCUUUAGGGCUAGCCUCGAGGUAAAGAGUCAUGGAGGUAGAGCACUGUUUGGACUAGGGGCCCUUCUCGGGUUACCGAAUUCAGAUAAACUCCGAAUGCCAUGUACUUAUACUCGGGAGUCAGACUGCGAGUGAUAAGAUCCGUAGUCGAAAGGGAAACAGCCCAGACCACCAGUUAAGGUCCCCAAAUAUAUGUUAAGUGGAAAAGGAUGUGGGGUUGCUUAGACAACCAGGAUGUUGGCUUAGAAGCAGCCACCAUUGAAAGAGUGCGUAAUAGCUCACUGGUCGAGUGACCCCGCGCCGAAAAUGUACCGGGGCUAAACAUAUUACCGAAACUGUGGAUGAACCUCUUUAGAGGUUCGUGGUAGGAGAGCGUUCUAAGGGCGGUGAAGUCAGACCGGAAGGACUGGUGGAGCGCUUAGAAGUGAGAAUGCCGGUAUGAGUAGCGAAAGAAGGGUGAGAAUCCCUUCCACCGAAUAUCUAAGGUUUCCUGAGGAAGGCUCGUCCGCUCAGGGUUAGUCGGGACCUAAGCCGAGGCCGAUAGGCGUAGGCGAUGGACAACAGGUAGAGAUUCCUGUACCAGUGCUAAUUGUUUAACCGAUGGGGUGACACAGAAGGAUAGGGAAUCGCACGAAUGGAAAUGUGCGUCCAAGCAGUGAGUGUGAGAAGUAGGCAAA
rnacentral:rRNA from 1 species